rnacentral:rRNA from 1 species
UACGGAGGAUCCGAGCGUUAUCCGGAUUUAUUGGGUUUAAAGGGUGCGCAGGCGGAAGAUUAAGUCGGUGGUGAAAUUUUGCAGCUCAACUGUGAAAGUGCCAUUGAUACUGGUUUUCUUGAGUGUGGAUGAAGUAGGCGGAAUUUGUGGUGUAGCGGUGAAAUGCAUAGAUAUCACGAGGAACUCCGAUUGCGCAGGCAGCUUACUAAUCCAUCAUUGACGCUGAGGCACGAAAGCGUGGGGAUCAAACAGGA